AUUGAACGCUGGCGGCAGGCCUAACACAUGCAAGUCGAGCGAGCGGCGCACGGGGGUGUAAUGUCUGGGAAACUGCCUGAUGGAGGGGGAUAACUACUGUAAACGGUGGCUAAUACCGCAUACCAUCAGAUGUGUCCACAUGGGAUUAGCUCGUAGGUGGGGUAACGGCUCACCCAGGCGCCGAUCCCUAGCUGGUCUGAGAGGAUGACCAGCCACACUGGAACUGAGACACGGUCCAGACUCCUACGGGAGGCAGCAGUGGGGAAUAUUGCACAAUGGGCGCAAGCCUGAUGCAGCCAUGCCGCGUGUGUGAAGAAGGCCUUCGGGUUGUAAAGUACUUUCAGCGGGGAGGCGUUACCCGCAGAAGAAGCACCGGCUAACUCCGUGCCAGCAGCCGCGGUAAUAC
rnacentral:rRNA from 1 species